UACGUAGGGUGCAAGCGUUGUCCGGAAUUAUUGGGCGUAAAGAGCUCGUAGGCGGUCUGUUGCGUCGGAUGUGAAAACCCAGGGCUCAACCCUGGGCCUGCAUUCGAUACUGGCAGACUAGAGUGCGGUAGGGGAGACUGGAAUUCCUGGUGUAGCGGUGAAAUGCGCAGAUAUCAGGAAGAACACCCGUGGCUAAGGCGGCUCUCUAGUACGGUACUGACGCUGAGACGCGAAAGCGUGGGGAGCGAACAGG
rnacentral:rRNA from 1 species